ensembl:lncRNA
GUAUGAGAGUAUGAUUUCCAAAUUCAUAUGAUUUUCAUAUUUUUGGGUCAGAAUGGAAAAUUCCAGCCAUGAGAGGCCUUUGAUGAGAUCAUCCUCCCACGCAGAUGAUAUGGGGAUUCGGAAUUGCCUCCAACUUUAUAGGAAGGCAGAGACCUGGAUUACUCUGGUUUUGCAGCAGGGGAGGAUAAGACACCCAGCAAAAGCGCUGAAUGUUCCAGAUUGCGAGGAUCUUCUGUGCGCAGCCCUCUUUAGGUCACCCCACAGAUGUUCAAUUGGAUUCAGAUGCCAAAAUUGACUGGAAUUUGGAGCUGUUCAUAACCCCCUCCAUCUUGACCGAGGACCCAGUUCCAGCAGAAGAAAAAAAGUUUUGGGGGUGUUCCCCCCCCC